rnacentral:rRNA from 1 species
GACAGAGGCCUCAAGCGUUAGGCGGAAUCACUGGGCUUAAAGCGCGCGUAGGCGGCCCUGUAAGUCCGUUGUGAAAGUCGAAGGCUCAACCUUCGAAAGCCGAUGGAUACUGCAGGGCUAGAGUCCGGAAGAGGCGAGUGGAAUUCCUGGUGUAGCGGUGGAAUGCGCAGAUAUCAGGAGGAACACCAAUAGCGAAGGCAGCUCGCUGGGACGGUACUGACGCUAAGGCGCGAAAGCGUGGGGAGCGAACAGG